rnacentral:rRNA from 1 species
UUGUUACGACUUCACCCCAGUCAUGAAUCACAAAGUGGUAAGCGCCCUCCCGAAGGUUAAGCUACCUACUUCUUUUGCAACCCACUCCCAUGGUGUGACGGGCGGUGUGUACAAGGCCCGGGAACGUAUUCACCGUAGCAUUCUGAUCUACGAUUACUAGCGAUUCCGACUUCAUGGAGUCGAGUUGCAGACUCCAAUCCGGACUACGACAUACUUUAUGAGGUCCGCUUGCUCUCGCGAGGUCGCUUCUCUUUGUAUAUGCCAUUGUAGCACGUGUGUAGCCCUACUCGUAAGGGCCAUGAUGACUUGACGUCAUCCCCACCUUCCUCCAGUUUAUCACUGGCAGUCUCCUUUGAGUUCCCGGCCGAACCGCUGGCAACAAAGGAUAAGGGUUGCGCUCGUUGCGGGACUUAACCCAACAUUUCACAACACGAGCUGACGACAGCCAUGCAGCACCUGUCUCAGAGUUCCCGAAGGCACCAAUCCAUCUCUGGAAAGUUCUCUGGAUGUCAAGAGUAGGUAAGGUUCUUCGCGUUGCAUCGAAUUAAACCACAUGCUCCACCGCUUGUGCGGGCCCCCGUCAAUUCAUUUGAGUUUUAACCUUGCGGCCGUACUCCCCAGGCGGUCGAUUUAACGCGUUAGCUCCGGAAGCCACGCCUCAAGGGCACAACCUCCAAAUCGACAUCGUUUACAGCGUGGACUACCAAGGUAUCUAAUCCUGUUUGCUCCCCACGCUUUCACACCUGAGCGUCAGUCUGUCGUCCA